UAAAAAAUUGACGAUGGAGUUCGCCAUAACCGUCCUAGUGAUUAAUGACUCCUACCAGUGG
rnacentral:ncRNA from 2 species